rnacentral:rRNA from 1 species
AGAGUUUGAUCCUGGCUCAGGAUGAACGCUGGCGGCAUGCCUAAUACAUGCAAGUCGAACGAGAGGAAGGAAAGCUUGCUUUCCUAAAUCUAGUGGCGAACGGGUGAGUAACACGUAGGUAACCUGCCCAUGUGCCCGGGAUAACUUCUGGAAACGGAUGCUAAAACCGGAUAGGUAGCAGACAAGCAUUUGACUGCUAUUAAAGUGGCUAAGGCCAUGAACAUGGAUGGACCUGCGGUGCAUUAGCUAGUUGGUGAGGUAACGGCCCACCAAGGCGACGAUGCAUAGCCGGCCUGAGAGGGCGGACGGCCACAUUGGGACUGAGACACGGCCCAAACUCCUACGGGAGGCAGCAGUAGGGAAUUUUCGUCAAUGGGGGGAACCCUGAACGAGCAAUGCCGCGUGAGUGAGGAAGGUCUUCGGAUCGUAAAGCUCUGUUGUAAGAGAAAAACGGCACUCAUAGGGAAUGAUGAGUGAGUGAUGGUAUCUUACCAGAAAGUCACGGCUAACUACGUGCCAGCAGCCGCGGUAAUACGUAGGUGGCGAGCGUUAUCCGGAAUGAUUGGGCGUAAAGGGUGCGUAGGUGGCAGAUCAAGUCUGGAGUAAAAGGUAUGGGCUCAACCCGUACUUGCUCUGGAAACUGAUCAGCUAGAGAACAGAAGAGGACGGCGGAACUCCAUGUGUAGCGGUAAAAUGCGUAGAUAUAUGGAAGAACACCGGUGGCGAAGGCGGCCGUCUGGUCUGGAUUCUGACACUGAAGCACGAAAGCGUGGGGAGCAAAUAGGAUUAGAUACCCUAGUAGUCCACGCCGUAAACGAUGAGAACUAGGUGUUGGGGGAAUAACUCAGUGCCGCAGUUAACGCAAUAAGUUCUCCGCCUGGGGAGUAUGCACGCAAGUGUGAAACUCAAAGGAAUUGACGGGGGCCCGCACAAGCGGUGGAGUAUGUGGUUUAAUUCGACGCAACGCGAAGAACCUUACCAAGUCUUGACA